rnacentral:rRNA from 1 species
UACGUAGGGGGCAAGCGUCGUCCGGAUUUAUUGGGCGUAAAGAGCGUGUAGGCGGCCACACAGGUCAGCUGUGAAAACUCGAGGCUCAACCUCGAGACGUCGGUUGAAACCGUAUGGCUAGAGUCCGGAAGAGGAGAGUGGAAUUCCCGGUGUAGCGGUGAAAUGCGCAGAUAUCGGGAAGAACACCCGUGGCGAAGGCGGCGACCUGGUCCGACACUGACACUGAGAGACGAAAGCUAGGGGAGCGAAUGGG